AUUAAUGAUUAUAAUAUUACUUUGAAGUUUCUCUCAAGAUUAGAUGGAGCUAGCGUAAAAAUUUUAUGGGGUAAAAUCAAUGAUUAAAGGUAUUGAGCUAUAUCGCUCUCCCGACCUAUUAUCAAAUUAACUUUAAAUAGAUAGGGCAAUGUGACUGCUCCUUUGAGUUACACCAUGGAAUCAAAUGCACACUAACCUAGAUCAUAUAAAAGGUGUUGGUCGAUUAAAAUUACAAUAUGGUAGUCGUGGAAGUUGAAAUUCACUAAUGAGUGUGUAACACUUAACAACUCACAUAUCAAAUCAGCUAACCCUAAAAAUGGAUGGUAGUUAAGUGUGCGACAUAUACUCACUUAUUGGGGCAAGAGGCAAGCCCCGGUGAGCAGGAGAGCGCAACAAUCAUCGCAAAAAUCAUGAGCGUGAGCAUACGCAAAGUGGUUGUUGAUUCAGAUCUUGGUUGUAGUAGCAAAUAUUCAAAUGAGAACUUUGAAGGCUGCCCAGGGGAAAUGUUCCAUGUGAAUGGCACAUAUACAUGGGUUAGUUAAUCCUAAGAGUUGUGGGAAUUUAAAUAGAUAGCGUGUUUCGUGCUUGCACUAAAACAUAAUCGAAUUAAAAUUCCUAAACCAAGACAUGACAAUUGACGACAAGGUUAGGGAGGACAAAAACGUGAUAAACGUGGUAAAUUAGUCGUUAGCUAUUACCUGAUAGUGUGAUUAUAGAAAAAAUGUUUGACAAAUUAGCUGUUAGUU
rnacentral:ncRNA from 1 species